AAUUCUCAACUAUUCAAGUUUUUGUUAACUUGAAUGGCUUGGAUCAUGGGAAUUGCGGGCUUUACUGAGUCGGCUUUCCUUAACUGCAUUAGCAGAGCUUUUGUUGCUAGCUAUUGGUGUGAUAACUAUCUAUGCCAUUAGCGAGCCGCAUGAAUGGAGCUUCGCUUCUAAUCGUCUUUACAGACAACUUUGACA
rnacentral:misc_RNA from 1 species